rnacentral:rRNA from 1 species
UGGGGAAUAUUGGACAAUGGGCGCAAGCCUGAUCCAGCAAUGCCGCGUGGGUGAAGAAGGUCUUCGGAUCGUAAAGCCCUUUCGGCGGGGACGAUGAUGACGGUACCCGCAGAAGAAGCCCCGGCUAACUUCGUGCCAGCAGCCGCGGUAAUACGAAGGGGGCUAGCGUUACUCGGAAUUACUGGGCGUAAAGGGCGCGUAGGCGGCGCUGCAAGUUAGGCGUGAAAGCCCUGGGCUCAACCUGGGGACUGCGCUUAAGACUGCGGUGCUUGAGGAUGGAAGAGGGUUGUGGAAUUCCCAGUGUAGAGGUGAAAUUCGUAGAUAUUGGGAAGAACACCGGUGGCGAAGGCGGCAACCUGGUCCAUUUCUGACGCUGAGGCGCGAUAGCGUGGGGAGCAAACAGGAUUAGAUACCCUGGUAGUCCACGCCGUAAACGAUGUGCGCUGGAUGUUGGGUGACCUAGUCACUCAGUGUCGUAGCUAACGCGGUAAGCGCACCGCCUGGGGAGUACGGCCGCAAGGUUGAAACUCAAAUGAAUUGACGGGGUCAUAGCUGUUUCCU